AUAAAUACUUUGAUCAACAAAGACGCCAUGAAAUCAAUAGAAAUCGCUUAGAAUUGCCGCGUAUAGCAUCUGGAAGAGAGAGAACAGGACAUAGGGGAAGAAGCUUAUCACCUGGCAGAGAGAUACAAGGACACAAGGGAAGAACAGGCUCAUCGGGUGGACGGGAUAGCAGAAUUGACAGAAAGACAAAAGGAUAUACGAAUAAGGGAAGAUGCUCAUCAUGCGGACGAUAUCCUAGCAAUCGCGGAAUCAUAAAGGGAUAUGUGGGAACGAACACUUCAAUGAUCUUGUUUAAAACUGGAAUCAAAGUUCUCGAAAUUAUCUUUUCGGUUAUUUUGGGAGUUCCGAUCCCUCCGAUUAUGUCUGCUGCUUAUUAUUUUGCCACUAUAUUAUUUUCAACUUAAUGUGCUUUAUUGUUUCAAGUCUAUAUGUGAAACCUGCUUGGCGAAGUGGUAAUAAGUU
rnacentral:misc_RNA from 1 species